AGCAGCCGCCGCGGUAACACGAAGGGGGCUAGCGUUGCUCGGAAUCACUGGGCGUAAAGGGUGCGUAGGCGGGUCUUUAAGUCAGGGGUGAAAUCCUGGAGCUCAACUCCAGAACUGCCUUUGAUACUGAAGAUCUUGAGUUCGGGAGAGGUGAGUGGAACUGCGAGUGUAGAGGUGAAAUUCGUAGAUAUUCGCAAGAACACCAGUGGCGAAGGCGGCUCACUGGCCCGAUACUGACGCUGAGGCACGAAAGCGUGGGGAGCAAACAGGAUUAGAUACCCCCGUAGUCCCUGUCUCUUAUAU
rnacentral:rRNA from 1 species